rnacentral:rRNA from 1 species
UGGGGAAUAUUGCACAAUGGGGGAAACCCUGAUGCAGCGACGCCGCGUGAGUGAGGAAGUAUUUCGGUAUGUAAAGCUCUAUCAGCAGGGAAGAAGAAAUGACGGUACCUGACUAAGAAGCCCCGGCUAACUACGUGCCAGCAGCCGCGGUAAUACGUAGGGGGCAAGCGUUAUCCGGAUUUACUGGGUGUAAAGGGAGCGCAGGCGGCAUGAUAAGUCUGAUGUGAAAACCCAAGGCUCAACCAUGGGACUGCAUUGGAAACUGUCGUGCUGGAGUGUCGGAGAGGUAAGCGGAAUUCCUAGUGUAGCGGUGAAAUGCGUAGAUAUUAGGAGGAACACCAGUGGCGAAGGCGGCUUACUGGACGAUGACUGACGCUGAGGCUCGAAAGCGUGGGGAGCAAACA